rnacentral:rRNA from 1 species
AUUAAACGCUGGCGGCAGGCCUAACACAUGCAAGUCGAGCGGCAGCGGGAAAGUAGCUUGCUACUUUUGCCGGCGAGCGGCGGACGGGUGAGUAAUGCCUGGGAAAUUGCCCAGUCGAGGGGGAUAACAGUUGGAAACGACUGCUAAUACCGCAUACGCCCUACGGGGGAAAGCAGGGGACCUUCGGGCCUUGCGCGAUUGGAUAUGCCCAGGUGGGAUUAGCUAGUUGGUGAGGUAAUGGCUCACCAAGGCGACGAUCCCUAGCUGGUCUGGGAGGAUGAUCAGUCACACUGGAACUGAGACACGGUCCAGACUCCUACGGGAGGCAGCAGUGGGGAAUAUUGCACAAUGGGGGAAACCCUGAUGCAGCCAUGCCGCGUGUGUGAAGAAGGCCUUCGGGUUGUAAAGCACUUUCAGCGAGGAGGAAAGGUUGAUGCCUAAUACGUAUCAACUGUGACGUUACUCGCAGAAGAAGCACCGGCUAACUCCGUGCCAGCCGCCGCCGUAAAAC